CAAAAAAAAAAAAAAAAAGGAAAGGUUAGAUUACCUUCUGGCUCGACUUUAAAAGCUCUUCAACUGUUUGUAUAUUCAAUAUUUUAACCAACUUGAUCAAUUUUUUUUACAAGUAAUCUGUAUUUAUCUUCAUUCAUAUCUGUUAAGCUCUUCAACUUUGAAAAAAGCACCUUUUUUUUUUAUUACAGUGGAUUUUCUGGUAUUUAAUUUUCCUGGAUGCGUGUAUAUUGUAGCAUUAAUAUCCUGUCCUGCUUUCUUUUUCUCUAAGAUUGGAUUGGAUACAUCUCUUUUCGUUUUUGGUCUGUCUGUACUGCUGGGUCGUAAUGUUUAUUCAAUGCUGUGAAUUAUGAGGCUUAAGACAGGCCUUAUUUCUGUCUUAGUUUUGCUGUGUGGUGGAACAGGAUUUGUGCUGUGGGUGCUUUUAUUUUGGUCGGUGGUGCAGUGUAGUGGUUCACUGAGAGAGAAAAAUCUAGUUUGGCUUUUUCUGAUGGCUUUCAGAAAUUUUCUUCUAAUAGGCCUAGGCUUCUAAGACAACUUUGGGUUUUAAAUUGAUUUUAUUUAUUUGAUUUUGAGUCAUAACCCAUCUCUGGUGAUGCUUCAAAUUUAAUGAAAUUUUAUUUC
rnacentral:misc_RNA from 1 species